CCUCUAACAUGUGAGAACUUGC
rnacentral:miRNA from 1 species